UUUAGUACUUUUGACUGUUGUUCCAAAAAAACAAAAAAGAAAGAAAGUAGCAGUGAAAGACAAAAGCAGUGCCGUUAUAGUUUUUGGUGUUACUUGAUCGAUCUAACGACUUCGUCAGACCAGUCCUAUUCAGAUUCCUCCUCUCUCUCUCUCUCUCUCUCUCUCUCUCUGGUAAUUUUUGAUCGAGAUUCUCUCUGUAACUUUUUCAUGAACAUAUAGGGUUUUUCUUUCAUUACAUAUUUUGAUUCAUGAUUCAUUUGUUAUAGCUCAAGAAGUAAGAACUGUUGUUCAUAUAAUAUUUUCUGUUAAUUGUGAUUAUUUUUAGAUUUUUCUAUGAUUCACUUUGACUAUUUUUAUGUAUAAAUCUAUAAAAUAUUUUUUCAUUUCUUUGAUUCUUGAUUUUAUUCAAGUUUAUAAUCUUCCUUGAUGAUAAGCAUGUUUAAUUUAACAAAUUUAAUUUGAUUUGAUUUGGAGUUUAUGACUGUUUUGGUUGACUUAUUUGAGCUUAUUGACUGGCGUAAGCACCGGUGCUAUUUUUCGAAAGAGCUUAUAUGAAAACAGAUUAUACAUGUUCAUAAGUUGUUUUCAGCUCAUUUCUAUGAGUUUUUCCAAGAUAGUUUAUAACAACAACUUAUAGCAUACAAUAAAACAAUUUGACUUUAUUUUAUUGUUUGUUAUAGAUAUAACUUAUACACCAAAACUUAUAUGAUAAGUGAUUAUGCUACAAGCGCUUAAUUAAGCUGUUUAUUUAAAUAGGACCUUAAUGGACUAUAUUGUCUGCGUAAAUGGGUUUUACAGACAUCCAAUGAGAGACUGCUGUUUUUGUAUGUACUACCAUCAAUUUUAGAAUGCCUUACAAAAGUCGGAUGGUGCGGCAAUAUAUUGGAUUUUUCAUUAGAUGUCUAGUUUAGACUAAGAGUGCCCUUUAAAUUGUUUUAUUUUAUGAUUUUUAAAAACAGAUGUUUAUUUAAUUUAAGUGAAAAUGAUGACGUUUUAUGAAUUACUGUUCUUGACUUACUCGUCUGUUAUGGGUUUUCUACUUCAGACAGGUUUGAGUUUCAACUGUAUUUGCCCAUUGAAUUUGAUCUCGUUGCUAGCUUCAGGUUCCAUGCCUUCUGUAACCUCACCUCAGUGGCAAGAUAAGGCUACUGGUUUCUUUUCUUCUUCAGG
rnacentral:lncRNA from 1 species